AUUGAACGCUGGCGGCAUGCUUUACACAUGCAAGUCGAACGGCAGCACGGGCUUCGGCCUGGUGGCGAGUGGCGAACGGGUGAGUAAUGCAUCGGAACGUACCGUGUAAUGGGGGAUAACGUAGCGAAAGUUACGCUAAUACCGCAUACGCCCUGAGGGGGGAAAGCGGGGGAUCGUAAGACCUCGCGUUAUACGAGCGGCCGAUGUCGGAUUAGCUAGUUGGUGGGGUAAAGGCCUACCAAGGCGACGAUCCGUAGCGGGUCUGAGAGGAUGAUCCGCCACACUGGGACUGAGACACGGCCCAGACUCCUACGGGAGGCAGCAGUGGGGAAUUUUGGGACAAUGGGCGCAAGCCUGAUCCAGCCAUGCCGCGUGAGUGAAGAAGGCC
rnacentral:rRNA from 1 species